GAAAUGCGAUAAGUAAUGUGAAUUGCAGAAUUCCGUGAAUCAUCGAAUCUUUGAACGCACAUUGCGCCCUCUGGUAUUCCGGGGGGGCAUGCCUGUCCGAGCGUCAUUGCGAACCCCUCAAGCACGGCUUGUGUGAUGGGCCCUCCCGCGUCUUGGUCGUCAAGACGGGCCCGAAAUGCAGUGGCGGCUUCGCGGUUAUCCGAUCAGCCGGAGCGUAUGGGGACUCUCUCUCUGUCACACGCCCGCGGCGCGGACCGACGCCUGUCGACCUUUAUCCAUCUUUUUCUCGGUUGACCUCGGAUCAGGUAGGGAUACCCGCUGAACUUAAGC
rnacentral:misc_RNA from 1 species